rnacentral:rRNA from 1 species
AACGAACGCUGGCGGCAGGCCUAACACAUGCAAGUCGAGCGAGCAUUUCGGUGCUAGCGGCGGACGGGUGAGUAACGCGUGGGAACGUGCCCUUUUCUGCGGAAUAGUCCUGGGAAACUGGGGGUAAUACCGCAUACGCCCUUUUGGGGAAAGAUUUAUCGGAGAAGGAUCGGCCCGCGUUGGAUUAGGUAGUUGGUGGGGUAAUGGCCCACCAAGCCGACGAUCCAUAGCUGGUUUGAGAGGAUGAUCAGCCACACUGGGACUGAGACACGGCCCAGACUCCUACGGGAAGCAGCAGUGGGGAAUCUUAGACAAUGGGGGCAACCCUGAUCUAACCAUGCCGCGUGAGUGAUGAAGGCCUUAGGGUUGUAAAGCUCUUUCAGCUGGGAAGAUAAUGACGGUACCAGCAGAAGAAGCCCCGGCUAACUCCGUG